rnacentral:rRNA from 1 species
UACGAAGGGGGCUAGCGUUGCUCGGAAUGACUGGGCGUAAAGGGCGCGUAGGCGGCUCAUACAGUCAGAUGUGAAAUUCCUGGGCUUAACCUGGGGGCUGCAUUUGAUACGUGUGGGCUUGAGUGGGGAAGAGGGUCGUGGAAUUCCCAGUGUAGAGGUGAAAUUCGUGGAUAUUGGGAAGAACACCGGUGGCGAAGGCGGCGACCUGGUCCUUGACUGACGCUGAGGCGCGAAAGCGUGGGGAGCAAACAGG